rnacentral:rRNA from 1 species
GACGAACGCUGGCGGCGCGCCUAACACAUGCAAGUCGAACGGAGUUUGAGAGAGCUUGCUUUUUCAAACUUAGUGGCGAACGGGUGAGUAACGCGUAGGCAACCUGCCCUUUAGUUGGGGACAACAUCCCGAAAGGGGUGCUAAUACCGAAUGUGAUCGCGUUCUCGCAUGAGAGAGCGAUGAAAGAUGGCCUCUAUUUAUAAGCUAUCGCUAAAGGAUGGGCCUGCGUCUGAUUAGCUAGUUGGUGGGUAACGGCCCACCAAGGCGACGAUUGGUAGCCGGACUGAGAGGUUGAACGGCCACAUUGGGACUGAGACACGGCCCAG